rnacentral:tRNA from 1 species
UGGGGUGUCGCCAAGCGGUAAGGCUACGGACUCUGACUCCGUCACUCGUAGGUUCAAAUCCUACCACCCCAGCCA